rnacentral:rRNA from 1 species
CAGUCGCCACGGGAAUACGUAGGGUGCAAGCGUUAAUCGGAAUUACUGGGCGUAAAGCGUGCGCAGGCGGUUAUAUAAGACAGAUGUGAAAUCCCCGGGCUCAACCUGGGAACUGCAUUUGUGACUGUAUAGCUAGAGUACGGCAGAGGGGGAUGGAAUUCCGCGUGUAGCAGUGAAAUGCGUAGAUAUGCGGAGGAACACCGAUGGCGAAGGCAAUCCCCUGGGCCUGUACUGACGCUCAUGCACGAAAGCGUGGGGAGCAAACAGGAUUAGAUACCCCCGUAGUCCCUGUCUUUUAUAC